UACGGAGGGGGCAAGCGUUACUCGGAAUUAUUGGGCGUAAAGGGCGCGUAGGCGGUCCCGCGCGCCGGAGGUGAAAUACCCGGGCUUAACCCGGGAGGUGCCUCCGAUACGGCGGGACUUGAGUCCGGGAGAGGGGAGCAGAAUUCCCAGUGUAGCGGUGAAAUGCGUAGAUAUUGGGAGGAAUACCAGUGGCGAAGGCGGCUCCCUGGACCGGUACUGACGCUGAGGCGCGAAAGCUAGGGGAGCAAAC
rnacentral:rRNA from 1 species